UACGAAGGGGGCUAGCGUUGUUCGGAAUCACUGGGCGUAAAGCGCACGUAGGCGGAUCGUUAAGUCAGGGGUGAAAUCCUGGAGCUCAACUCCAGAACUGCCUUUGAUACUGGCGACCUUGAGUUCGGGAGAGGUGAGUGGAACUGCGAGUGUAGAGGUGAAAUUCGUAGAUAUUCGCAAGAACACCAGUGGCGAAGGCGGCUCACUGGCCCGAUACUGACGCUGAGGUGCGAAAGCGUGGGGAGCAAACAGG
rnacentral:rRNA from 1 species